GUGCACGCGGCAUAACUUUGUGCUGGUGAAAGACGACGGAAGCUACUCAGCGGUGAACAACCUGGCAAAACUAAUUGUUCAUUCGUUUGGCAUCGAUAUGGACGGUGUUGGCGCUGCUGGCUGCUGUCGGAGAGGUGAUGGAUUUCUUAUGGGAACAGAACUUCGCCUGCCACUAGCUUUCUCGGAAUGCACCAGCAGUCUUCUUCCAGCAGCAUUAAGGAAGCUGACAUGCUUGGAAAAAGUAUCUUCUUCAAGAGAAGUAAAGAAUCUUCCUUUGCCGCCGCUUAUUUCAAGAGUGGCGUACUGUUCUGCUUUGAGCUCUGUUCACUGU